rnacentral:lncRNA from 10 species
CGAGUAGCUGCAACUACAGGCACCCGCCACCAUGCCUGCCUAAUUUUUUGUAUUUUUUAGUGGAGAUGGGGUUUCACUGUGUUAGCCAGGAUGGUCUCUAUCUCCUGACCUCGUGAUCGACCCGCCUCAGACUCCCAAAGUGCUGGGAUUACAGGCAUGAGCCACCACGCCUGGCCAACACCCCCAUUUUGUAUACCACACUCAACUCCCCCAUUUUCUACAUGCUGAUCAAAACCAAUCUGAAUGGAGUCUAGGUCUGGCUGUGGGCUGUUGGGAAGAGGCCCCCAAAUCUGGCCAUCAACUGGCCGCAAAACUGGCCAUAAACAAAAUCUCUGCUGCACUGUGACAUGCUCAUGAUGGCCAUGACUCCCACACUGGAAUGAGGGCAAGGAACACCUGGCCCACCCAGGGCGGAAAACCGCUUAAAGGAGUUCCUGAACCACAAACAAUAGCAUGAGCGAUCUGUGCCUUAAGGACGUGCUCCUGCUGCAGAUAACUAGCCAGACCCAUCCCUUUAUUUCCCGUAAGAAGUGCUUUUAAUCUAUAAUCUAUAGAAACAAUGCUUAUCACUGGCUUGCUGUCAAUAAAUAUGUGGGUAAAUCUCUGUUCGAGGCUUUCAGCUUCGAAGGCUGUGAGACCCCUGAUUUCCCACUCCACACCCUA